rnacentral:pre_miRNA from 1 species
UCUUACGGAUGAGUAAAGGAAGUAGUUGCUUAAGAUGGAAUCUACUCUUGGUAACAAUGUUAUGAA